AAUCGCUUGAACCCAGGAGGCGGAGGUUGCAGUGAGCUGAGAUCGCGCCACUGCACUCCAGCCUGGGCGAGACUCCAUCUCAGAGAAAAAUCAAUCAAUCAAUCAAUCAAUCAAUCAAAAACCAGAACAACCUGGGAAGGGCCAUGUAAUCUGGUAACUGAGUGAACGGUUCUGGAUUCGUGCUAGAUGAAGUUCGAGCUCUGUUUGGCAACCUUGGUCAAAUUAUUUCACUUUUCGAAGCUUCUAACCUUCAACUUAAUGACUUGGGAAACCAAGCCCGCCUCUUAUGGUCGCUAUGAGUUUUAAGAGGAACGAAGGCAAAGCCCUUGGCACAGGACCGGGCGGGACUUGGGUCCUGACUCUGGGACAGUGGCGGCAGCCUCACCUGAGCGGCGCACUGGUCCAGGUAGAGCUCCAGCCCUGAUUUGAUCUGACUGUUGUCCUCACAAGAAGAUGAAAUCUGGACACACAGAGACACCAGGGAUGUUCACACAGAGAAGGCCAGGUGAGGAUGCAGUGAGAAGGCAGCCAUCUGCGAAUGAAAGAGAGCGGCCUCAAGAGAAACCAGCCCUGCUGACACCUUGAUCUUGGACUUCCAGCCUCCAGAACUGUAAGAAAAUAAAUUUCUGUUGUUUAAGCCACC
rnacentral:lncRNA from 10 species